AGCUGCCCCAUAGCUGCCCCAUAGCUGCCCCAUAUCCCUGCCCCACAGCUACCCCAUAGCUGCCCCAUAGCUGCCCUAUAGCCCUGCCCCAUAGCCCUGCUCCACAUCUGCCCCAUAGCUACCCUGUAUCCCUGCCCCAUAGCUGCCCCAUAUCCCUGCCCCACAGCUACCCCAUAGCUGCCCCAUAGCUGCCCCAUAUCCCUGCCCCAUAGCUGCCCCAUAGCCCUGCCCCACAGCUACCCCAUAGCUUUCCCAUAGCUGCCCCAUAUCCCUGCCCCAUAGCUGCCCCAUAUCCCUGCCCCACAGCUGCCCCAUAGCCCUGCCCCACAGCUACCCCAUAGCUGCCCCAUAGCUGCCCCAUAGCCCUGCCCCACAGCUGCCCCACAGCUGCCCCAUAGCCCUGCCCCAUAUCCCUGCCCCAUAGCUGCCCCAUAGCCCUGCCCCACAGCUGCCCCACAUCUGCCCCAUAUGACGCGUGCUGUCGCUGUGUCCCCCCAUAGCGCAGCGUGCGGCCGCAGGUGGUGACGACGUUUGAGCUGCCGGGAUGUUACGACAUGUGGACCGUGCUGGCACCGCCACGCAAACAGGAGGUCGGAGCACUGCUACUACUAGUAGUAGUACUACUAACACUACUACUAGUAGUAGUAGUACUAACACUACUACUAACACUACCAUUACUACUAACACUACUACUAACACUACUAGUAGUAACACUGCUACUACUAUCACCACUACCACUACAACUACCACUACUACCACUACUAUUAACACUACUACUAGUAGUAACACUACUACUAUCACUAGUAACACUACUACUAACACUACCAUUACCACUAACACUACUACUAACACUACUACUAACACUACCAUUACUACUAACACUACUACUAACACUACUAGUAGUAACACUACUACUACUAUCACCACUACCACUACAACUACCACUACUACCACUACUAUUAACACUACUAGUAGUAGUAACACUACUACUAUCACUACUACCACUACAACUACCACUACUAUUAACACUACUACUAGUAGUAACACUACUACUAUCACUACUAACACUACUACUAACACUACUACUAACACUACUACUAACACUAACACUACUACUACUACUACUACUACUACUACUAACACUACUACUAACACUACUAGUAGUAACACUACUACUAUCACCACUACCACUACAACUACCACUACUACCACUACUAUUAACACUACUAGUAGUAGUAACACUACUACUAUCACUACUAACACUACUACUAACACUACUACUAACACUACUACUAACACUACCAUUACUACUAACACUACUACUACCACUAUUAACACUACUGCUACUAUCACCACCACCACUACUACUACUCUACACUAUUUCUACUACUAUCACUACUACUACUAACACUACUACUACUGCUAUUAACACUACCACUACUAACACUACUACUAACACUACUACUAACACUACUACUAACACUACUACUAUUAACACUACUACUAACACUACUAGUAGUAACACUACUACUACUAUCACCACUACCACUACAACUACCACUACUACCACUACUAUUAACACUACUACUAGUAGUAACACUACUACUAUCACUACUAACACUACUACUAACACUACUACUAACACUACUAGUAGUAACACUACUACUAUUAUCGGCACUACCACUACAACUACCACUACUAACACUACUACUAACACUACUACUAGUAGUAACACUACUACUAUCACUACUAACACUACUACUAUCACUACUACUACCACUACUACUACCACUAUUAUCACUACUGCUACUAUCACCACCACUACUACUACUACUAACACUACUACUACUACUACGCUACUGCUACUACUACCACUACUACUACUCUACACUAUUUCUACUACUAUCACUACUACUACUAUCACUACUACUACUAACACUACUACUACUGCUAUUAACACUACCACUACUAACACUACUACUACUAGCACUACUACAAUUACACUACUACUACUAGCACUACUACUACUAACACUAUUUCUACUACUAUCACUACUACUACUAACACUACUACUACUACCACCACUACUACUACUAACACUAUUUCUACUACUAUCACUACUACUACUAAAUAUACAUUACUACUACACUACUACUACUGCUAUUAACACUACUACUAACACUACUACUACUACUACUACUAAAACUACCAUUACUACUAAUACUACUACUACUAACAACACUACUACUAAUUCUACUACUACUAACACUACUACUACUAACACUACUACUACUAUCACUACUACUAUCAAUACUACUAGCGCUAGUUCUACUACUAUUACUCGUACUACAGCAACUAAUGCUAUACUACUACUAAUGGUAAUAUUACUAGUAGUACUAAGAGUACUAAUAUUAGUAGUAUUACUAGUACCACUACUAUUGCUUCUACAGUACUAUUAUUGCUACUUCUACUAUUACUACUACUAUACCGCUACUGCUACUACUUAAACUAGUGCUAGUUCUAUUACUAUAGCCACUACUACUACUGCUGCUACUACUACUUGUAGUAUAGUACUACUACUUCUACUAGUACUGCUGCUGAUAGCAGUUGUUCUGUUCAUGCAUCCCCCCCAUCCACCCAUCCCUGUG
ensembl:lncRNA